rnacentral:rRNA from 1 species
AUUGAACGCUGGCGGCAGGCUUAACACAUGCAAGUCGAGCGGAGUGAUGGUGCUUGCACUAUCACUUAGCGGCGGACGGGUGAGUAAUGCUUAGGAAUCUGCCUAUUAGUGGGGGACAACAUCUCGAAAGGGAUGCUAAUACCGCAUACGUCCUACGGGAGAAAGCAGGGGAUCACUUGUGACCUUGCGCUAAUAGAUGAGCCUAAGUCGGAUUAGCUAGUUGGUGGGGUAAAGGCCUACCAAGGCGACGAUCUGUAGCGGGUAUGAGAGGAUGAUCCGCCACACUGGGACUGAGACACGGCCCAGACUCCUACGGGAGGCAGCAGUGGGGAAUAUUGGACAAUGGGGGGAACCCUGAUCCAGCCAUGCCGCGUGUGUGAAGAAGGCCUUAUGGUUGUAAAGCACUUUAAGCGAGGAGGAGGCUUACCUAGUUAAUACCUGGGAUAAGUGGACGUUACUCGCAGAAUAAGCACCGGCUAACUCUGUGCCAGCCGCCGCAGUAA